UGGAAUAUUUAAAUAAAUUAUAUGAUUUUUAUAUAAUUAAUAUAAUGUAACUAUUAUGUAAUGUUAAUCUCUAUAAAAAAAGGGUGUAGUAAUAAUUUCAUUAAUAUAGUUGGAUAAUUUUGGUGUUGAACCAAAUACAUAAAUAAAUUAUAUAAUUUUUUUUUUUUGAGAGAUAGGUCGCACGCUACCCGCUUCGUUUAUUUCAUUUAGAAAUAAACUUAGCUGGGAAUGUGAAUCAACUAGGAUUCGAACUUGGAAUCUCAGAUAUAUACUAAUCACCAAGCUCUUUGACACUUGCUCUAGAGACGGUCGGUAUUUUUAGGCUUUUAUGUUAAAUGCCAUUCCUGCCUUAUUUAUGAG
rnacentral:lncRNA from 1 species